CUGUGAUUUCAAAUCCUGAUACAUUUUAUUACUGCCAGGAUGCAUAGCAUAUGGACUACUAUGAGCUUCCUUUAAGAUACACUGUCUCAACUCUGAAAUUUUAGGCACACAAAGUCUGUCCCCAAAGUACAAGCAGUCGUCAUCUUUAAUCAUAAAUCUCUUUUUCCUUCCCUCUCUGGUUAGGUCUUUCCACAAGGCAAUAGUCUCAUCAUCCU
rnacentral:lncRNA from 1 species